UGGGGAAUUUUCCGCAAUGGGCGAAAGCCUGACGGAGCAAUACCGCGUGAGGGAGGAAUGCCUUUGGGUUGUAAACCUCUUUUCUCAGGGAAGAAGAUCUGACGGUACCUGAGGAAUAAGUAUCGGCUAACUCCGUGCCAGCAGCCGCGGUAAUACGGAGGAUGCAAGCGUUAUCCGGAGUCAUUGGGCGUAAAGCGUCCGCAGGUGGUUUCCAAAGUCUGCUGUUAAAGACUGGAGCUCAACUCCGGAACGGCGGUGGAAACUUGGAAACUAGAGUUCGGUAGGGGUAGCAGGAAUUCCCAGUGUAGCGGUGAAAUGCGUAGAUAUUGGGAAGAACAUCGGUGGCGAAGGCGUGCUACUGGACCGUAACUGACACUCAGGGACGAAAGCUAGGGGAGCGAAAGGGAUUAGAUACCCCUGUAGUCCUAGCUGUAAACGAUGGAAACUAGGUGUGGCU
rnacentral:rRNA from 1 species